rnacentral:rRNA from 1 species
UACGUAGGGGGCUAGCGUUGUCCGGAUUUAUUGGGCGUAAAGAGCGUGUAGGCGGCCUGGUAGGUCUGCUGUGAAAGUCCAGGGCUCAACCCUGGAAGGCCGGUGGAAACUGUCGGGCUAGAGUCCGGAAGAGGCGAGUGGAAUUCCCGGUGUAGCGGUGAAAUGCGCAGAUAUCGGGAGGAACACCAAUGGCGAAGGCAGCUCGCUGGGACGGUACUGACGCUGAGACGCGAAAGCGUGGGGAGCAAACAGG